AGCUGUGUAACCUGGAGCAGGGUCCUGUGAGAACAGCUGGGAAAGGCUUGUCUGUGCUUCACCCACACACCUCCUGCUCUUUGGCUCCUGAGCUGCAGUUAAGCUCAGGAUUAGGCCUUAGUUUGCUUCUAGGCUCUGCUUUAGGUAUACCUGGCUUGCUCAAGGUGAUAUCCUGGCUAGACUCAUCUGCACCUGGUCAGUAUAGACUAGUCUAGUAAGGGAAAAAAUGGUGCUGUUAUCCUUAAUAUUCAUUUCACAAUCCCAAAAUAAGUAUUCCUUUGGAGGCCUUUUCUUUUAGGGGCCAUUGUUGGACAUAGUCAGUACCAGAUGUUUUAUGCAACUUUUGCUUGUCACCCUCCUGAAAGAAUCCUUUUGGCAUUGUUUUCCACUUCCUCGAGGCAGCCUUCUUGAAAUUCUGUCAGCACACUUCUUUUGGUCAAUAAGGUAAGCAGCUGCACUGGGUCUUGGUGUGCAGCGGAUCUAGUGCCCAAUACCAGUGCUCUGACACCUUUGUAUAGGAUCAGGCCCUGGAUGUUUUGGAUUUUG